UCUUCAGUAGCUCAGUCGGUUAGAGCAUCUGACUGUUAAUCAGAGGGUCGUUGGUUCAAGUCCAACCUGAAGAGCCG
rnacentral:tRNA from 4 species